rnacentral:rRNA from 1 species
GGAAAUCUCACCAGGCCCGGACAAUGGAAGGAUUGACAGAUUGAUACCUCUUUCUUGAUUCUGUGGGUGGUGGUGCAUGGCCGUUCUUAGUUGGUGGAGCGAUCUGUCUGGUUAAUUCCGAUAACGAACGAGACCCCAACCUGCUAACUAGCCCUCGGGUCCUGCUUCUGUUGGGCCCGACGGAAUGAUUCGCUUCUUAGAGGGACUCGCGGCGCCUAGCCGCACGAAGGGGGGCGAUAA